GACGAACGCUGGCGGCGUGCUUAACACAUGCAAGUCGAACGGAGUGGCGAACGGGUGAGUAACACGUGGGUGACCUGCCCUGCACUUCGGGAUAAGCCUGGGAAAAUGGGUCUAAUACCGGAUAGUGUGGGAUGGGCCCGCGGCCUAUCGGCUUGUUGGUGGGGUAAUGGCCUAUCAAGGCGGCGACGGGUAGCCGGCCUGGGAGGGUGGACGGCCACAUGGGGACUGAGACACGGCCCAGACUGCUACGGGAGGCAGCAGUGGGGAAUAUUGCACAAUGGGCGGAAGCCUGAUGCAGCGGCGCUGCGGGGGGGAUGACGGCCUUCGGGUUGUAAACUCCUUGCGCCAUCGACGCGGUAGAUGGAGAAGAAGCACCGGCUAACUCCGUGCCAGCAGCCGCGGUAAUUC
rnacentral:rRNA from 1 species